rnacentral:rRNA from 1 species
GAACGCUGGCGGCGUGCUUAACACAUGCAAGUCGAGCGAAGUAUUCAAGAUAGAUUUCUUCGGAUUGAAGUCUUGAAUAUCUUAGCGGCGAACGGGUGAGUAACGCGUGAGAAACCUGCCUUUCACAAAGGGAUAGCCUCGGGAAACUGGGAUUAAUACCUUAUGAUACUUACAUUUCACAUGAGAAGUAAGUUAAAGCGCAAAGCGGUGAAAGAUGGUCUCGCGUCCCAUUAGUUAGUUGGUGAGGUAACGGCUCACCAAGACCGCGAUGGGUAGCCGGCCUGAGAGGGUGAACGGCCACACUGGAACUGAGACACGGUCCAGACUCCUACGGGAGGCAGCAGUGGGGAAUAUUGCACAAUGGAGGAAACUCUGAUGCAGCGACGCCGCGUGAGUGAAGAAGGCCUUCGGGUCGUAAAACUUUGUCCUAGGGGACGAUAAUGACGGUACCCUAGGAGGAAGCCCCGGCUAACUACGUG